GCUUAGAAGCAGCCAUCCUUUAAAGAAAGCGUAACAGCUCACUGGUCUAAACAAGUUGUCCUGCGGCGAAGAUGUAACGGGGCUCAAGCCACGAGCCGAAGCUUCGGGUCGUAUUUAUACGGCGGUAGCGGAGCGUUCUGUAAUAAGCUUGUUGUUGUAUCCGUAAUUUAUUAUGGAUUGAUGCGACAGGUGCGUUGAAGAUAACCCGUGAGGGUUGUUGGAGUUUACAGAAGUGAUAAUGAUGACAUGAGUAGCGACAAACAGAGUGAGAAACUCUGUCGCCGAAAGCCCAAGGGUUCCUUGCUUAAAGUUAAUCUGAGCAGGGUUAGCCGGCACCUAAGGCGAGGCCGAGAGGCGUAGCCGAUGGAAACCUGGUUAAUAUUCCAGGGCCAGUGGGAGUGUGACGGAUUGCAGGUGUUGUCCGGCCUUAUUGGAUUGGCCGUGGCAGCUGAGCAGUUCCUGGAAAUAGCACCCACACAAUGACCGUACCCUAAACCAACACAGGUGGGCAGGUAGAGAAUACCAAGGCGCUUGAGAGAACCACGUUGAAGGAACUCGGCAAAUUGCCUCCGUACGUUCGCAAGAAGGAGGCCCGGUUCGUAGGCAACUAUGGGCCGGGGGCACAAACCAGGGGGUGGCGACUGUUUACUAAAAACACAGGGCUCUGCUAAACCGCAAGGUGACGUAUAGGGUCUGACGCCUGCCCGGUGCCGGAAGGUUAAAAGGAGAUGUGCAAGCAUUGAAUUGAAGCCCCGGUAAACGGCGGCCGUAACUAUAACGGUCCUAAGGUAGCGAAAUUCAUUGUCGGGUAAGUUCCGACCUGCACGAAUGGCGUAACGACUUCCCCACUGUCUCCAACGUGGACUCAGCGAAAUUGAAUUGCCUGUCAAGAUGCAGGCUUCCCGCGGUUAGACGGAAAGACCCCGUGAACCUUUACUAUAGCUUCGCAUUGGCAUCAGGCUUGUGAUGUGCAGGAUAGGUGGUAGACAUUGAAGGUAGGACGCAAGUCCUGUUGGAGUCACCCUUGAGAUACCACCCUUGACAUUCUUGUUGUCUAACCGCGUUCCGUUAUCCGGAACCGGGACCGUGCGUGGUGGGUAGUUUGACUGGGGCGGUCACCUCCUAAAGAGUAACGGAGGUGUGCGAAGGUGGGCUCAGAGCGGUCGGAAAUCGCUCGUAGAGUGCAAUGGCAAAAGCCCGCUUGACUGCGAGACUGACAAGUCGAGCAGAGACGAAAGUCGGCCAUAGUGAUCCGGUGGUUCCGAGUGGAAGGGCCAUCGCUCAACGGAUAAAAGGUACUCCGGGGAUAACAGGCUAAUGGUGCCCAAGAGUUCAUAUCGACGGCACCGUUUGGCACCUCGAUGUCGGCUCAUCUCAUCCUGGGGCUGAAGCAGGUCCCAAGGGUACGGCUGUUCGCCGUUUAAAGAGGUACGUGAGCUGGGUUUAGAACGUCGUGAGACAGUUCGGUCCCUAUCUGCCGUGGGUGUAGGAAACUUGAGAGGAGCUGUCCCUAGUACGAGAGGACCGGGAUGGACGCACCACUGGUGGAUCUGUUGUGGCGCCAGCCGCAGUGCAGAGUAGCUAUGUGCGGAACGGAUAACCGCUGAAAGCAUCUAAGCGGGAAGCCACCCUCAAAACAAGGUUUCCCUGAAGGACGGUGGGAGACUACCACAUGAUAGGCCGGAGGUGUAAGUGCAGCAAUGCAUUCAGCUGACCGGUACUAAUAGUCCGUUCGGCUUGAUUAU
rnacentral:rRNA from 1 species